GGGAUGACGUCAAAUCAUCAUGCCCCUUAUGACCUGGGCUACACACGUGCUACAAUGGGAAGUACAACGAGUCGCUAGACCGCGAGGUCAUGCAAAUCUCUUAAAGCUUCUCUCAGUUCGGAUUGCAGGCUGCAACUCGCCUGCAUGAAGCCGGAAUCGCUAGUAAUCGCGGAUCAGCACGCCGCGGUGAAUACGUUCCCGGGCCUUGUACACACCGCCCGUCACACCACGAGAGU
rnacentral:rRNA from 1 species